rnacentral:rRNA from 1 species
UACGUAGGGCGCAAGCGUUGUCCGGAAUUACUGGGCGUAAAGCGCGGGCAGGCGGCUGUUCAAGUCGGACGUGAAAGCUCCCGGCUCAACCGGGAGAGGCCGUUCGAAACUGGGCAGCUAGAGGGCAGCAGAGGGGCGUGGAAUUCCGGGUGGAGUGGUGAAAUGCGUAGAGAUCCGGAGGAACACCAGAGGCGAAGGCGGCGCCCUGGGCUGCACCUGACGCUGAGCCGCGAAAGCCAGGGUAGCGAACGGGAUUAGAUACCCCUGUAGUCCCU